UGGGACAGAUGUAGCUUGAGAGUAAUACAAAGGUUCAGAUUUCAAAGUAGAAGAAGAGGAACCAGAAAAGGCAGGGAGUUGGCAGACAUAAUUCUUAAGAUAGGAAAGAGGAUUAUGCUGUCUAGUGGACUUUCUAGGAGCAGGAAGAGGGUGUGAAGGAGGUAAAACAGGGGGAGUGAUAUAAUGAUUGAAAGAAGGAAGGGAAUAUGGAGCAGCAUCAGUAAAAUCAGGAACAGGAGAAUCAGAUGUAGGUGAAGGAGGGGAGGAAGCAUGUAUAGGAAAAUCUAUGUCAGUGGAAUGUCAAGCAGGAGGAAUAGAAGGAAAAGAUGAAGGAGAAGGGUGAGCAAAAGAAGGUUUAUUCUUAAAAGGAAAACAAGUUUCAUGGAAAGGAGGAUUAUGCUGUCUAAUGGAUUUUCUAGGAGUAGGAAGAGGAUGUGAAGGAGGUAAAACAGGAGGAGAGAUAUCAUGACUGAAAGAAGGAAGGGAAGAUGGAGCAGCAUCAGUAAAAUCAGGAACAGGAGAAUCAGAUGUAAAAUUAGGAACAGGAGAAUCAGGAGAAGCAG
rnacentral:lncRNA from 1 species